rnacentral:tRNA from 1 species
GGGCUGGUACGGCGAAUUGGUGAAGCCAGCGGACUGUAAAUCCGUCACCCUUGUGGUAAACAUUGCAGGUUCAAGUCCUGCCCGGCCCACGA